CAGCCUAGUAGUAAUGACCACGACCAUUAUUAUUACCGACACGACACAUGUUGGGGCAGGCUGCUGAGCGAAAGAAAUUCACAAAAAAGGCCUGUAUCCAACAAGAUACAGGCCUUUUUUUA
rnacentral:sRNA from 1 species